UGGAUCGAGAUGAAGAGUGUAAAAGACAAGCCAAGAUUACCAUUUUAUAUACAAACGCCUUUUGACUGAUCCCUUGAGAACUUGAAUACUCUUUUCGAGUUGUAUUAUCUUUUGAUUAGCUUCUUUAUAUUCAUCAUAUUCAUUGUCAAUAAUAUUAGUCGAAUUCGAAAUCUUAGAGAUCUGCUCAUAGAAAUGUUUUCUCACCGUUUCCCUAAACCCUACUAUGUUCACGUUAAAAUUCUGAUCAGAGGUUUUAGCUCCCACAACUUUGCACUAUUUGUAAGGAUACAAUAAAAAAAAAAAAUCACUGACUCAAGAGCCCGAUCGAAGAUCAGCAAUAUCGAAAUGGAUCAUAAAACUAGUGAAUUCAACAUGAAAAUGAAAGUUAUAUGAACUUUUUAGAUGAAAGUGGAGAGAAAAUAAAGUUUUGUGAGUGUAGAAUAAGAAGAUACGAGAUAGAAAUUGAAUAAUUGAGUUUUAACUGUUCUAAAAUAGUUGUUUAUGGUGGUUGGAGAAAUGAUGAUAGUGACAUUGUUGUAAAGAAGAAUAAAUGUUAGGGUGUUUAUAGUUUUUUUUUGUAAUUUUAGAAAAGAAAAAAAAAGUAUAAUGGCAUUCUUGUAAAUAUUGAAAAUUUUAAUUAUUGUAUGGAAACAUAAUUACAAAAUAUAUAGAUUUUUUUUUUGAAAUGAUUAUUACAAAAUAUUAUUGACCAAAGGACAUAACCCGUAGCGGUCUUGGUUUCAUUUGGGUCCUGUUAGGACUUAGGAGGGGUCUCCUGCGAUCGUUUUUUGGGUUGCCUCUUGGUUGAGUUAUUCUGGACGCGAACCGCUGGGCUUUCAUGCUCUUGUUGUCUUGUCAUCUACAUUUCGUCGAGUCCACUGAAACUCAGACUUCGAUGGACCAUUCCGGUUCGAGGUGUUGACCUCGAUGUUCCCCAACCUCGAAGCAUACAUAUUGGAAGCUGGGAACUCGGGAGUUCAAAAUGCUCCUUGGCUUUGUCUUUGGGGCAUGGGGGUGCAACUUGCAGGCUUUGAUCGAUGUCUCGAUCGGUCGAGAGCCCAGUUCGAUGUGCCGUGAGUUCCCUCUCAGCUUGUUCUAGUCGAUUGACUAUAGUUCAAUGCGCGAUCUCAUGGCCCUGUGACUUAUCUUUGAGGGUGUAGAGCAUGCUUCGUAGCUUGGCCACUUCCUCGUUGAUUGACGUGCUUGCGUUCGAUUUCUCGGAUCAUACUCUGCUGUUCUUUCAUUUGAUUUGAGAGCACAAUGAUAUAAUCAUAUGCAAAUCGACAAAAAUGGACUUUUAUAAUCUUGAUCUGGUGCAAAUGACUCUGCUAUCUUCUCCUUUGCAUGUUGGUUGUUUCGAGAUCUUCGGGGUAUUUUUCUCUUGACUUGUCUUCCGAUGAUUCUGGAAGAUAUUCCUUCGACAUUGUUUUUCCAGUUUCAAACGAGUCUUUGACCUCGUUCCUUUUGUUCGAGCUCGAGAUCAUCUCUGAGCAUCAGUCUUCGAUGAGGCCGAGCCCUAAGUCUUUCUUUAACAUGGGCCGGCAUAUGUUUUCGCUAGAUCAUGUCGAAGUUUGGGUCCAACAUUUUUGUGAGAGAUAAGGUCCAAAAGGGUGAGGUUUGAGUUGUACAUAUACCUUCCACAUCGCAAUAUGCAGACAUAUUCACUAAAGGUUUACCGUCUUCUUUGUUCAUCGACUUUCACUCCAGUCUAGACGUGUUAGAUCCCCGCGCUCCAACUGCAAGAGGGUGUUAGAGCACCAUUAUCGCGGGCUCUUAAAGCCCGUAUUCAAUGUAUUCAGAUUUAAAAAAAAAGAAAAAUUGGCUAAUUAAAGAGGAGACGUCGCUUAAUUAAGCCACACAAGAGACGGGUUUUGUGAACACGUGUCAUUAUCUCAUCCCUCUCUCUCUCUACCAAAGCAUUCUCUCUCUUUCUUUCGUGUCUCCUCGGCGACUCCGACUCCAUCUGCUGAUCUCUCCUCCACGAUGACCUAUCAGCGACGACUCCGACUCCAUCAACCGGCGACUCUGACGAUGACCUCUCCGCGAUGACUCCGGCGCCAUCAGCCGACUCAGAGACUCACUUCUCGUCAACCUCACGUUUUCCUCCGCCGCCGCGUCUUCUUCGCACACAGACUAGAGAAGAAGGAAACAAAGGUGGAGAAGAAGAAAAAGUACACAGUUUGAGAUGGAGUUUCGAAAGAGAGAUCCGGAUCAGAUAUGAGUUUGGGAGAUCACAUAUGGAGUUUCUAUUAAUAGAGGACGUGGCAGGGAAGCCAUAGAAACUGACGUCUCUGUCAUUGGAGUAAUGACUUCGUUGUGGUGUGCCUUGCUUCCUACGCAAGCAUCAGAAGUAGCAGCUCAAAUCUGGGAGGUUCAACUGUUCUGUUGCAGCAAAUUCAAGAGAGCGUGGGAGGUUCAUUUGUAUGCUGAUCUGACUGAAACUUUGUACAGAUGUAGGGGACACUGCAGACUCAGAGUUCAACGGUGUGAUCGAAAAGUGGACGGUCAGUUUAUUAGUUAUUCAUGUAUUUCUGAACCGGUUUGGUACAUUGUGAAACAGAGUGGUAUGUUGAUGGAUCGUCUUGUUUGGUUGGGAAAAUGAGCUCGGACUGAGCUCAUAUUUGGCAGGAACCUUAUGGACUCGUGGAUAUAUGUUCAACUAUAAGGAGAGAGGGUCUGGAGUUCGGGAACAUGGAAAACGAGCGGUACAACGGAUCUGUCCAAAGUUGAGAAAAUGAAAACUUGUUGUCAAGUGGCUAAGGUGAGGGAUUUAUGGGAGCAUAGUUCAUAUUUUUCUGUUAUACUACAUGAGUUAUAAUAUGUAGGCUUAGAUCUGAUUGUUAGUUAGAAAUUCUAUGAUUAUAUGGUGAAGGUUGCAAAGUGUGUUACACUUAAUAAGGUUAACUUUACUUGCUAUCUCCUUGGACUUGUUAUUAGUGAAAUUGUUAUAAGGAACAUUGUUUUGAAGAUGGUUAAACUUUCUUA